UAGCGAACAAGUACCGUGAGGGAAAGGUGAAAAGCACCCCGAUGAGGGGAGUGAAAGAGACCUGAAACCGAACACCUACAAGCAGUCGGAGCCUCCUUGCGGGGUGACGGCGUACCUUUUGUAUAAUGGGUCAGCGACUUACAUUCAGUGGCGAGGUUAACCGAAUAGGGUAGCCGUAGAGAAAUCGAGUCCGAAUAGGGCGAAUCAGUCGCUGGGUGUAGACCCGAAACCAGGUGAUCUAUCCAUGGCCAGGAUGAAGGUACCGUAACAGGUGCUGGAGGUCCGAACCCACUAGUGUUGCAAAACUAGGGGAUGAGCUGUGGAUAGGGGUGAAAGGCUAAACAAACUUGGAAAUAGCUGGUUCUCUCCGAAAACUAUUUAGGUAGUGCCUCAAGUAUCACCAUCGGGGGUAGAGCACUGUUAUGGCUAGGGGGUCAUUGCGACUUACCAAACCAUUGCAAACUCCGAAUACCGGUGAGUGCGAGCUUGGGAGACAGACAUCGGGUGCUAACGUCCGGUGUCAAGAGGGAAACAACCCAGACCGCCAGCUAAGGUCCC
rnacentral:rRNA from 1 species